UGCCAGCAGCCGCGGUAAUACGGAGGGUGCGAGCGUUAAUCGGAAUUACUGGGCGUAAAGCAAACGUAGGCGGCUUGAUAAGUCUGAUGUGAAAUCCCUGGGCUUAACCUGGGAAUUGCAUCCGAUACUGUCGAGCUAGAGUGUGUGAGAGGGAAGUGGAAUUCCGGGUGUAGCGGUGAAAUGCGUAGAUAUCCGGAGGAACACCAGUGGCGAAGGCGACUUCCUGGCACAACACUGACGCUGAGACACGAAGGCCAGGGUAGCGAAAGGGAUUAGAUA
rnacentral:rRNA from 1 species